GAUGAACGCUGGCGGCGUGCUUAACACAUGCAAGUCGAACGAAGCAUUUGCGACAGAUUUUUUCGGAAUGAAGUUGCUUAUGACUGAGUGGCGGACGGGUGAGUAACGCGUGGGUAACCUGCCUUGUACUGGGGGAUAGCAGCUGGAAACGGCUGGUAAUACCGCAUAAGCGCACAAUGUUGCAUGACAUGGUGUGGAAAACUCCGGUGGUAUAAGAUGGACCCGCGUCUGAUUAGCUAGUUGGUGAGAUAACAGCCCACCAAGGCGACGAUCAGUAGCCGACCUGAGAGGGUGACCGGCCACAUUGGGACUGAGACACGGCCCAGACUCCUACGGGAGGCAGCAGUGGGGAAUAUUGCACAAUGGAGGAAACUCUGAUGCAGCGACGCCGCGUGAGUGAAGAAGUAAUUCGUUAUGUAAAGCUCUAUCAGCAGGGAAGAUAGUGACGGUACCUGACUAAGAAGCUCCGGCUAAAUACGUG
rnacentral:rRNA from 1 species